rnacentral:rRNA from 1 species
UACGUAGGUGGCAAGCGUUGUCCGGAAUUAUUGGGCGUAAAGCGCGCGCAGGCUGUCCUUUAAGUCUGAUGUGAAAGCCCACGGCUCAACCGUGGAGGGUCAUUGGAAACUGGGGGACUUGAGUGCAGAAGAGGAAAGCGGAAUUCCACGUGUAGCGGUGAAAUGCGUAGAGAUGUGGAGGAACACCAGUGGCGAAGGCGGCUUUCUGGUCUGUAACUGACGCUGAGGCGCGAAAGCGUGGGGAGCAAACAGG